GUGUGCUCGCUUUGGCUAUACAGAUACUAAAAUUUGAAUUAUAGAGAGAUUAACUUGGGCCCUGCAUAAGGAUGACACACAAAUUCAGGAACCAUUUUAUUUAUUU